UACGUAGGGGGCAAGCGUUGUCCGGAAUUACUGGGCGUAAAAGCGCACGUAGGCGGAUGUGUCAGUCAGGGGUGAAAUCCCGGAGCUCAACUUCGGAACUGCCUCUGAUACAGCACGUCUUGAGUUCGAGAGGAGGUGGGUGGAAUUCCUAGUGUAGAGGUGAAAAUUCGUAGAUAUUAGGAAGAACGACCGGUGGCGAAGGCGGCCCACUGGCUCGAGUACUGACGCUGAGGUGCGAAAGCGUGGGGAGCAAACAGGGAUAGAUA
rnacentral:rRNA from 1 species